rnacentral:rRNA from 1 species
UACGUAGGUGGCAAGCGUUGUCCGGAUUUACUGGGUGUAAAGGGCGUGCAGCCGGGCUGACAAGUCAGAUGUGAAAUCCCGCGGCUCAACCGCGGAACUGCAUUUGAAACUGUCAGCCUUGAGUACCGGAGAGGUCAUCGGAAUUCCUUGUGUAGCGGUGAAAUGCGUAGAUAUAAGGAAGAACACCAGUGGCGAAGGCGGAUGACUGGACGGCAACUGACGGUGAGGCGCGAAAGCGUGGGGAGCAAACAGG